AGCCUUUUAUGUUAAAAACAUUUUCUGUGCAUGUGCGCAGUUGCAUUCCUUAGUAUUGAGUAAUAUGCUAUUGCAUUAAUAAUGUCUUCAAUCCAUUCUAAAGGAAUAUACAUGUGUUCUCUAGUUUUUGCAACAGUUAAUAUUUUUGCAUGAACUUGGUGCAUGGCAUCAUCUCAGUAGUCCCUCAGUGCAGUGCUUUUUUUCUGAUGUAACCUCGACUCUCUCUCGCUCUCACUUAGUCGGACUCCCGUCUGACCACGUCCAAACGGUCACCACGUGGAAGUCUUAAGAUUGGCUCAGUCUCAUAUUUGGUAAAAGGGCAUAAAAAUGUCAGGGGGUGGGCUGUGUUGAGGGAAAAUGCAUGUCCUCUUGAAGACUAGCCUUCGAAGCCACCAAGCCUCCCCCAUAACUCCGUCUAUCUUCUUUAACCAGUUCCCAUCUGGCUCUGAGCCUGACAUCAGCAGAAAACAAUCUAAACAUAUGAGCCCUUAAAGAGCAAAUCAUAUGCUGUGAUUGAUAUAAGGGGGCACAACUUUUUUUUUUUUUUUACAUCUGACCUUUAUUAAGCUAAUAAAAUAACAAUAAUACCUCAUGAAGGGAUAUUUGUUAACAUGUCAAAAAAGAUUUUUUUUAAAAAUUCGAGGCUUUGCUCUUUAAAAAUUACCACCAUCUGUGCAUGUUUGUGAUGAAAUGAGAAUGAAGUCAUAUUUAUGAUAAUCAACAGCAGACAUUGAGCUGAAACAAUAGAGUGAAUACCCUAUUAUCUACUGAAGUAUAGAGCCAACACGGAUGACUACGUCAUAACAAGACUCACAGUAUACCAAGACUUUACAUUCAUCAUCUCAUGGCUGUGAGAAGCCAUACUAAACACUUAUUUAUGGGUGCUUAUUGCAACAUUUUUGUGACUUACAUAUUUGUCUAUAAUAAAAGCAUUCAAUGUCUGACGCAACAUUUGAAAGAAAUGCAUGUAUUGGUUAUUGAUAUAAUGUGAGAUGGCACACUUAUUGAGGUAAAUAAACCUUUAAAAAUAUGUGAUUUAGAAUUACACAUAUAGUCUUUGUCCAUUUGCAAUAUUACUUCCUGUGAUAUUAUCACAACUUUAACUUGUCCCAAUAUCCAGGACUGAGUAUGUGAUAUUUAAAUCACACCACGCGCUCACACACUCGCACACACGCAAAACACACUCAGGAUUUCUUUCAAGGUGCAUAUGAAUGUUAUUAAGGUUUAAAAACAGGCUGAACACACCUACAUUCCCAGAUGAGUAACAAAAACAAACAGCGGGCACUUUGCAGAUGCAAUGGCUGGCAUGGAGCCACACCAGUAUACUUAAAGUUUUCUUUUCUAGAGAGGCAAAAGGAUAAAAUGCAGGACGCUAAUGUACUGACAUCAUUUCUGAGUAAAGUGAGAAGUAGAAUAAAGCUGAAAGUUCAGGAAGAACGCAAGCUGUGAUCCUAAAAUCCUCCCUCCUCUGUCACUCUCUCGCUCACACACACACACACACACAC
ensembl:lncRNA